CCCUUAGAUGUUCGGGGCCGCACGCGCGCUACACUGAAUGGAUCAACGUGCCUUUCCCGAGGCUGAAAAGUCGAGGUAAUCCGUUGAACCCCAUUCGUGACGGGGAUAGGAGCUUGCAAUUAUUCUCCUUGAACGAGGAAUUCCCAGUAAGCGCGAGUCAUCAGCUCGCGUUGAUUACGUCCCUGCCCUUUGUACACACCGCCCGUCGCUACUACCGAUCGGACUGUCCUGUGAAUUUCUAGGAGAGUUGAGGUCCUGGCGCUUCGGUGUCGGCGACCUCAUGCUUGAAUUGAAUUGAACUGGACUCUCUAGAGGAAGUAAAAGUCGUAACA
rnacentral:rRNA from 1 species